GUGUAGUGUAGUGAAUCGAAUUUGGACAUGUGCGAGUGGUGUCUGGCGAUUUUUAGUGUUAGAAACUCUCGGUUUAGUUAAAUCAGCUCUUUUUAGAGCUCAAUAGGAUUAGCUAGGUGUGCAAUAUUUAAGAUUUAGUAAAGAAUAGGUGCAAUACUAAGGCAGCAUAGAUAAUUUAAAGGAUAACGAAGAGCCCCAGGGAGAGGGGGGGCAAGAGGAGAGAAGAGAAAGUAUAAGUCUUACGUUAAGAGAGAAUGAGACGCUGAAGAAGACAAUAAGGAGACUGGUGGCAAGACUAAAUGUAGAAAUGAACGAAGAUAGCAAUAAAGGAAAAAGACCGGCGACGGAAGAUACGCUGGAUCAACUGAUGCUAGAUACAACGAACACAGAGAAUGAGAGUGAAGACUGGAAAAUGGUAGAGAGGAAGAAGAAGAAGGCAAGGAAACAAAAUUCAAAGGUAGAGAAGAGCGCGGGAAAGACUUGCAAUACUAUUGGUCAGAAGUCACGUGAAACAGGAGAGGACCAAUCGGAAGAGGAAAUGGAAGUUGAGGGGGAAGGAGACACGCCAGUACCGGCGAGUUGCGAUAAAGGCGCGCAGUUAGUAAAUAGCGAUACAGUGCAACAGAUACGGCGGAUAUCAUGGCAAAGAGAAACGAGAUAAGGAAAAGAGAGGCAUAUGUGAGGGAGGAUGGUAUCCUCAAACACAUCAGUGAGAUCGACGUGUCCAAGACGCUAACAGUGCAAUUAAGAAAAUCAACGAGGAUAAAGGAAAAGAUGGAUACAGCGCGGGAAUAGAAGACCGGGACACGUGCUUCAGAGGCGUUGUUCCGCUAUAUCUAGAUUCAAUCAUAGACUUCUAUAGUUUGCUCACCAAACCCGAGGAUGUUUUAAAAAUUGAAAGAAUGGUGAGAAGAAAAGGAAAUGGAACAAGGAAGAAAAUAAGGUAGAAUUUGAGCCGGUCGACUCUGUGAUAAUUACAUUUAAAGGAAACCAGCCCAGAGAUAAGAUAAGUUUUUUUCAAUGACUUAGCUGUAUUAAGAGUAAGAUCAAACGUGGCCCCUGUGAUGCAGUGUUACAAGUGCUUUAGGUAUGGCCAUAGAAAAGUUCAUUGUAAGAGUGAGGAAUGCUGUAUCAAUUGUGGUGAAAGAGCGCAUGGCCACUGAGAUAAACCAACGAAGUGUCGCAACUGCGGUGAGAGUCACAAAUCCACAGAUAGGAGGUGUGACGUGUACGAGAGAAAUCAGAGGAUCAAGAAAGUGAUGGCUUAUAUCUUAUAUUAAUAAUACUUCAUAUAGAGAAGUGAUCGAAAUUCUAGAGGACAGUGAUGAAGGUCCUACGGAAGUCUACGACAGAUACGAAAAAUCGAAUAAUUGGCCGCUCCUUAGUAAACCAGGACAGAAGACGAGUCAGAGGCAGAAAUCUUCAUAUAGAGACGAAGUGAUUAGCAAAGCAAAUAGUAGAAAAGGAAAAGGAAAGGAAGAAAAAGCAAGGAAUGCUGAUGACACAAGUAGCGAUGACCUGCCAUAUCUUUCCCCUGACAACUUAGGGUUUAUAAGGCAGGAAAGGAAGAGAGAGGAUGGAAGAAGGAAAAUAGAGGCGCCUAGAAUGAGAACUAACUACUACGCACAAUUCAACACAAGGGAAGGAGAAAUUACUAAGGAAAAGAGAGGAAUCGCGCUAGUACAUGACAAGGAAGGAAAUUUAGCCGACAAAGGCCAGGAAGGAUAUUCAAUAGGGAAGGCAUUGAUUACAGAAAAA
rnacentral:misc_RNA from 1 species